rnacentral:lncRNA from 1 species
GUUCUGUAGGAGCUCGUGAAGGCUGCGUGCUUCUCCGACUGUGUAACGGAGCAAGUUUGAUACAACCUUGGAUAAUUUGGGAAGAAUGAAUCCCAAUUGGAAGUGUGUGUGGGUUUCAACCAGAUUGGCCUGUUCAAAAGUCUAUUUCCACAGUGGAAGGAGGCAGGGGCUGUGAGUGAGAUCAAGGACCACUGCGGUUGAAGAACAGCAACUGCUAUGAACUUGACUGAACGUGUGCAGACAGAGAGCAGAAGAUGAGGAAACCAAGAUGCUUAAUAUGAAUAAAUGUCCUUCAAAGCAAGAAGAUAGACAGGCAUUUUACUGCGGUGGUCUUUAUUUCACUUUUUUUUUUUUUUUUUUUAAUAAUCAGGAAUCCCA